rnacentral:tRNA from 1 species
GGGGCUGUAGCUCAGUGGCAGAGCACUUGCCUAGCAUGCGUGAGGCCCUGGGUUCGAUCCUCAGCACCA